CUAAGAAUCUUCCGCAAUGGGGGCAACCCUGACGGAGCGACGCCGCGUGGACGAUGAAGGCCGUAAGGUUGUAAAGUCCUUUUGCAGGUGAAGAAUAAGCCGGGGAGUGGAAAGCCCUGGUGAUGACGUUAGCCUGCGAAUAAGCCCCGGCCAAUUACGUGCCAGCAGCCGCGGUAAUACGUAUGGGGCAAGCGUUGUUCGGAGUUAUUGGGCGUAAAGGGCGUGUAGGGGGCUCGAGAAGUCUGGUGUGAAAUCGCAGGGCCCAACCCUGCGGGUGCGCUGGAAACUGACGGGCUUGAGUCCCGGGGGGGAAGCUGGAAUUCCUGGUGUAGGAGUGAAAUCUGUAGAGAUCAGGAAGAACACCGGUGGCGAAGGCGAGCUUCUAUUCGAGGACUGACGCUGAGGCGCGAAAGCGUGGGGAGCAAACAG
rnacentral:rRNA from 1 species